AAAAGAAAACCAGGCCAGUUUCAUGGUGAUUUUGGCCGUCUUGACUUCUCACAGCGAGACACACAAUUAGGCACACAGAGAGAAAGA